rnacentral:lncRNA from 1 species
GGCUCCUCCUGCCAUUUAGUCCUGUUCCACAGCUGGGGCGGGUAGCUGAGGUGGGGAAGGAUCACUUCUUGUAUCCUCACUGAUUUGUUUUCUGCCCAGUAGUUACUAAACACUCUGGGCCUGACUCCUCCAGGGCCAGAAACAGAGAUGAAGACACUGAUCAGAAGCUUCUCAGGAGAAGAGCAGUGAGUGCCCUCCACAACAGGAUGAACACCAGGGCAGAGGAGGACAUAGAUGCCGGAGGGUUCCUGGGCUGCUGUGUGCCACGACCACCUGGUGUACCCAACACUGGAGCCAACGGCCCCUAGGGGGACAGACAACUGUGACCACUUUCUGCUGGUCUGGGGACCCAUGAGACUCUUGGCAUGCUAUCAGCCUUGAAAACCUACACGUCUUUGCCAGAGAGGCUGUUGGGCCUUCUGAACAUUUGCAGGGCUGCUUUAUUUCCUUGGUUCACAUUUACUAUCAGUAGCCAUCCUUAAAACACAAGGGUGUGUGUGCAUUUUUGAGACUGGGAGCAAAACUGGGACACUUGUCCUUGAGAGAGAAAAGGCAUUGUGUCAGUGAGAGGCACUCCAGGAUACGUCCUGAUAUAAGAAGGAGCCACGGGGAUGGAGAAGCUGGUCCCUGGGGAGUAUACCUGGAAGGAAGUCUUCUAUAAACCUUGACACCCUCUGGUCAUUUUCCUGUCCUAAUCCUAAGUAUUAAGCCUCUUGGCAGGAGGCCUGUUAGAUGCUGAGCAGGACAAGGGCUCCUUUAUUUUUAAAGGAAAACACUCUGCUCUUCAGAAGCUAACAGUCUAUUUGGGUAAACAUUCUAUGCACCCACAUAGCAAUUGAAGACAACCAAGAAUGAGCUCCCCAAAUACACUAAUAUUGGUAAAUGUUUAUCAUUUGUAUUGCUUCUUUCAUCUCAAGGCUCAUUUUACAUAAAUAAAACACAUUUCUAAAUCCCGA